rnacentral:rRNA from 1 species
CAGGUGCUGCAUGGCUGUCGUCAGCUCGUGUCGUGAGAUGUGGUUAAGUCCGCAACGAGCGCAACCCUUGUCAUUAGUUGCUACGAAAGGGCGACUCUAAUGAGACUGCCGGUGACAAACCGGAGGAAGGUGGGGAUGACGUCAAGUCCUCAUGGCCCUUAUGGGUAGGGCUACACACGUGCUACAAUGGUCGGUACAAAGGGUUGCCAAGCCGCGAGGUGGAGCUAAUCCCAUAAAACCGAUCGUAGUCCGGAUCGCAGUCUGCAACUCGACUGCGUGAAGUCGGAAUCGCUAGUAAUCGUGAAUCAGAAUGUCACGGUGAAUACGUUCCCGGGCCUU